AUUGAACGCUGGCGGCAGGCUUAACACAUGCAAGUCGAGCGGGGUGAUGGUGCUUGCACUAUCACUUAGCGGCGGACGGGUGAGUAAUGCUUAGGAAUCUGCCUAUUAGUGGGGGACAACAUCUCGAAAGGGAUGCUAAUACCGCAUACGUCCUACGGGAGAAAGCAGGGGAUCACUUGUGACCUUGCGCUAAUAGAUGAGCCUAAGUCGGAUUAGCUAGUUGGUGGGGUAAAGGCCUACCAAGGCGACGAUCUGUAGCGGGUCUGAGAGGAUGAUCCGCCACACUGGGACUGAGACACGGCCCAGACUCCUACGGGAGGCAGCAGUGGGGAAUAUUGGACAAUGGGGGGAACCCUGAUCCAGCCAUGCCGCGUGUGUGAAGAAGGCCUUAUGGUUGUAAAGCACUUUAAGCGAGGAGGAGGCUCUUUUGGUUAAUACCCAAGAUGAGUGGACGUUACUCGCAGAAUAAGCACUGGCUAACUCUGUGUCAGCCGCCGCGGUAA
rnacentral:rRNA from 1 species